CGGGUGGUAAAUUUCACCUAAGGCUAAAUAUGUGCAAGAGACCGAUAGCGAACAAGUACCGUGAGGGAAAGAUGAAAAGAACUUUGAAAAGAGAGUUAAAUAGUACGUGAAAUUGUUGAAAGGGAAACGAUUGAAGUCAGUCAUGCUAGUGAGGAAUCAACCUGAUGGUGUGUGGGUUCUCCCUCGUACCUUCCGGUGCACUUCCUCACCCGGCAGGUUAGCAUCAAUUUCGGUUAUCAUAAAAAAUUUGAGAGAAUGUGGCUUUUCUUCGGAAAAGUGUUAUAGAUCUCGAUCGAUGUGGUGACCGGGAUUGAGGAUUGCAGCGGAUAUCCUCGUGGCUCGUCACCUGGCUUCUGACGGUUGCCCCGCCUUCGAUAGCUCGCUAACGCCGGUAGGACUCGAUCGUCUAGAUGUCAGACUGAUUGAUUUUCGCUAAGGAUGCUGACGUAAUGGCUUUAAACGACCCGUCUUGAAACACGGACCAAGGAGUCUAACAUGUGUGCGAGUGUUUGGGUGUUGAAACCCGGAACGCGUAAUGAAAGUAAUCUUGGUGGGAACCCCUCGGGGUGCACCAUCGACC
rnacentral:rRNA from 1 species